CCUACGGGUGGCAGCAGUGAGGAAUAUUGGUCAAUGGACGCAAGUCUGAACCAGCCAUGCCGCGUGCAGGAAGACGGCUCUAUGAGUUGUAAACUGCUUUUGUACGAGGGUAAACGCAGAUACGCGUAUCUGUCUGAAAGUAUCGUACGAAUAAGGAUCGGCUAACUCCGUGCCAGCAGCCGCGGUAAUACGGAGGAUUCAAGCGUUAUCCGGAUUUAUUGGGUUUAAAGGGUGCGUAGGCGGUCGGAUAAGUUAGAGGUGAAAUCCCGAGGCUCAACUUCGGAAUUGCCUCUGAUACUGUUCGGCUAGAGAGUAGUUGCGGUAGGCGGAAUGUAUGGUGUAGCUGUGAAAUGCUUAGAGAUCAUACAGAACACCGAUUGCGAAGGCAGCUUACCAAGCUACUUCUGACGUUGAGGCACGAAAGCGUGGGGAGCAAACAGGAUUAGAUACCCUUGUAGUC
rnacentral:rRNA from 1 species